rnacentral:rRNA from 1 species
GCCGGGCGGCGUGCUUACCAUGCAAGUCGAACGAUGAUCCGGUGCUUGCGCCGGGGAUUAGUGGCGAACGGGUGAGUAACACGUGAGUAACCUGCCCUUGACUCUGGGAUAAGCCUGGGAAACUGGGUCUAAUACCGGAUAUGACUUCUCAUCGCAUGGUGGGGGGUGGAAAGCUUUUUGUGGUUUUGGAUGGACUCGCGGCCUAUCAGCUUGUUGGUGGGGUAAUGGCCUACCAAGGCGACGACGGGUAGCCGGCCUGAGAGGGUGACCGGCCACACUGGGACUGAGACACGGCCCAGACUCCUACGGGAGGCAGCAGUGGGGAAUAUUGCACAAUGGGCGAAAGCCUGAUGCAGCGACGCCGCGUGAGGGAUGACGGCCUUCGGGUUGUAAACCUCUUUCAGUAGGGAAGAAGCCCUCUUUGGGGGUGACGGUACUUGCAGAAGAAGCGCCGGCUAACUACGUGCCAGCAGCCGCGGUAAUACGUAGGGCGCAAGCGUUAUCCGGAAUUAUUGGGCGUAAAGAGCUCGUAGGCGGUUUGUCGCGUCUGCUGUGAAAGACCGGGGCUCAACUCCGGUUCUGCAGUGGGUACGGGCAGACUAGAGUGCAGUAGGGGAGACUGGAAUUCCUGGUGUAGCGGUGAAAUGCGCAGAUAUCAGGAGGAACACCGAUGGCGAAGGCAGGUCUCUGGGCUGUAACUGACGCUGAGGAGCGAAAGCAUGGGGAGCGAACAGGAUUAGAUACCCUGGUAGUCCAUGCCGUAAACGUUGGGCACUAGGUGUGGGGGACAUUCCACGUUUUCCGCGCC